rnacentral:rRNA from 1 species
AGAGUUUGAUCCUGGCUCAGGACGAACGCUGGCGGCGCGCCUAACACAUGCAAGUCGAACGAGCGAGAGAGAGCUUGCUUUCUCGAGCGAGUGGCGAACGGGUGAGUAACGCGUGAGGAACCUGCCUCAAAGAGGGGGACAACAGUUGGAAACGACUGCUAAUACCGCAUAAGCCCACGACCCGGCAUCGGGUUGAGGGAAAAGGAGCGAUCCGCUUUGAGAUGGCCUCGCGUCCGAUUAGCUAGUUGGUGAGGUAACGGCCCACCAAGGCAACGAUCGGUAGCCGGACUGAGAGGUUGAACGGCCACAUUGGGACUGAGACACGGCCCAGACUCCUACGGGAGGCAGCAGUGGGGAAUAUUGCACAAUGGGGGAAACCCUGAUGCAGCGACGCCGCGUGGAGGAAGAAGGUCUUCGGAUUGUAAACUCCUGUUGUUGAGGAAGAUAAUGACGGUACUCAACAAGGAAGUGACGGCUAACUACGUGCCAGCAGCCGCGGUAAAACGUAGGUCACAAGCGUUGUCCGGAAUUACUGGGUGUAAAGGGAGCGCAGGCGGGAAGACAAGUUGGAAGUGAAAUCCAUGGGCUCAACCCAUGAACUGCUUUCAAAACUGUUUUUCUUGAGUAGUGCAGAGGUAGGCGGAAUUCCCGGUGUAGCGGUGGAAUGCGUAGAUAUCGGGAGGAACACCAGUGGCGAAGGCGGCCUACUGGGCACCAACUGACGCUGAGGCUCGAAAGUGUGGGUAGCAAACAGGAUUAGAUACCCUGGUAGUCCACACCGUAAACGAUGAUUACUAGGUGUUGGAGGAUUGACCCCUUCAGUGCCGCAGUUAACACAAUAAGUAAUCCACCUGGGGAGUACGACCGCAAGGUUGAAACUCAAAGGAAUUGACG